UUUCUACUCCCUCCGUUCGGAAUUACUCGUCCAAGAAAUGAAUGUAUCUAGAUGUAUUUUAGUUGUAGAUACAUCCAUUUUUGUGACAAGUAAUUCCGAACGGAGGGAGUAUAUG
rfam:Triticum urartu cultivar G1812 contig501974, whole genome shotgun sequence.